GAUGAACGCUGGCGGCGUGCUUAACACAUGCAAGUCGAACGGUGAAGGCGGAGCUUGCUCUGCUGGAUCAGUGGCGAACGGGUGAGUAACACGUGAGCAAUCUGCCCCUGACUCUGGGAUAAGCGCUGGAAACGGCGUCUAAUACUGGAUACGAGCUGCGAAGGCAUCUUCAGCAGCUGGAAAUAAUUUCGGUCAGGGAUGAGCUCGCGGCCUAUCAGCUUGUUGGUGAGGUACUGGCUCACCAAGGCGUCGACGGGUAGCCGGCCUGAGAGGGUGACCGGCCACACUGGGACUGAGACACGGCCCAGACUCCUACGGGAGGCAGCAGUGGGGAAUAUUGCACAAUGGGCGAAAGCCUGAUGCAGCAACGCCGCGUGAGGGACGACGGCCUUCGGGUUGUAAACCUCUUUUAGCAGGGAAGAAGCGAAAGUGACGGUACCUGCAGAAAAAGCGCCGGCUAACUACGUG
rnacentral:rRNA from 1 species